ensembl:lncRNA
UCUGCCUCACCAAAACUAAUGGCAUCUUUUACAUGUUUUAAAUUGCUUAUAUGCUGGGUACAGUGGCUCAUGCCUGUAAUCCCAGCACUUUGGGAGCCCAAGGCAGGCAGAUCACAUGAGGUCAGGAGUUUGUGACCAGAAAGGUGAAACCCUGUCUCUACUACAAAUAAAAAAAUUAGCCAGGUGUGGUGGUGUGUGCCUGUAAUCCCAGUUACUUGGGAGGCUGAGGCAGGAGAAUCACUUGAACCCAGGAGGUGGAGGUUUUGCAUUGACCCAAUAUCACACCACUGCACUUCAACCUGGCUAACAGAGCAAGACUCUUUCUCAAAAAAAUUUAAAAAUAAAAAAUAAAAAUAAAUUUUAAAAUUUGCUUAUAUUUUUAUAGGCUGAGCUGUCUUUGGAAGACCUACAAUGAAAGAGGAAUAGAUUUUGAUCAAGAAAUGGAGAAGAUUUCAAUGGUGUUAAAGAUGGUGGCAGAUGGGGAGAGAUGGAAUUAGAAAAUCACCACCUGGAAAGACCACAGUCAUAAUCGUUUCAGGUGAGAAUCCUCAAAGGAUGCUAAAAGUGUUGGGUGAAUGUCUGAUUAGGACCAGGAUACUUAUUUUCAAAGCACCUCCUUAUAAGAUACUGCACUAUUUGCAAAGGGGAAAAAAUAACUGUAGUAAUUAAUCAAAGUAAAUCUCACUAGGACAGAUCAACAUCCUGAUAUAUGCAUGAAAAAUGUGCAACCUUCAUCUACUUAGGAAGACCUAUCAGACAAACCCAAAGUGAGGCACAUUGAACACCAGAGCAGGCCUGUAUUCUUCAACAGUGUCAAGGUCAUGAAAGAAAAAGAAAGACCAAAGAACCACUACAGAUGAAAGGAAGAGAACAGGACAAUUAAAUGCAAUGUGAGAUCCUUGACUGGACUGGACCAGAAUAAAAACAUUAGUGGGACAACUGAAAAAAUUGGAAUAUCUAAAGAUUAGAUGAUAGCGACAUAUCAGUUGAUUUCCUGAUGUUGAUCUUUGAACUCAUUUUACUCACAUCAUUGUGACUGUGUAAGAUGUUUAAAUUUGGGAAGUCAGAAUAAAGGAUAUACAGUAAUAUUUUUAUAUUCUUUAAAGCUAUAAAUGAUUUCAAAACGAAAAGUUAAAAAAAAAAUCAAAGCACUACUUUUCUGUGGGUAGACAAUAUGUCCAUCUGGUUUUGAACUUGGUAAUUUCAGUUGAACGUGAUAGUUGUGUGUUUUACAGCACACUUCUAACAGUGUCUUUAGUCACCCAGAAGCUGAGAUUAGGUGAUUCAGACUAGGUGAUUAAAUUUCACGAUACACUCCAUGGAUGCAGUCAUAGUCAUACGGUAAUUAAAGGCACUCAGAAACGUUGGUGUUGGUGGAACCUGGGAAGGAAAGUUGGAAGCAUAUGAAAAAGGGACAAGCACAAUUCUCAUCUUUUUUCCUUGCUAUCUUUUAUUCUGGCUUGCUAGUCACAAUCAGCUUUCGGCUGCAAGCCAACCCAGAAGAGAUCCAGUGUCUUCAAAAUAUAGGUUCUGCUUUGUUUUGGUUUUGGUUUGGUUUUUGAGACAGGGUCUCACUCUGUCACCCAGGCUGGAGUGCAGCGGCGUGAUCUUGGCUCACUGCAACCUCUGCCUUCUGGGUUCAAGUGAUUCUCCUGCCUCAGCCUCCUGAGUAGCCAAGGUUACAGGUGCCCACCACCAUGCGUGACUACUUUUUGUAUUUUUAGUAGAGACGAAGUUUUACCAUGUUGCCAGGCUGAUCUUGAACUCCUGACCUCAGGUGAUCCAUCCCCUUCAGCCUCCCCAAGUGCUGGGAUUACAGACAUGAGCCACAGCACUCAGCCCAAAAAACAGGCUGACCAAAAACACACUUGUGAUCUUAGAUUCAGCCCACUAGUAGAAGAUUCAGAGAGCGGUAGGGAGUGGGGUACAGGAUGUGACUUCCAGUCACCCCCACUUGGAAAAUUUCUGCCGACCUAAAGUCUAUAGUCUGAUAGGCAGAUUCGGGGUGUUUGAGAGGAGACUAGGUAAAGAAUAAAACCAAGUCAGGUUCCUGGUCAGGUGCUCAUCUUCAUGUAGCCUUCAAAGCCAGGAAGGAGGGCAUGCUAAACAAAGGCGCCCAGGAGCCAAGAGUGGAUGGACACGCUCCCCAGGCAUCUUGCUACACUGUUGGCAUUUUCCUGCAAGGCUACAUUUCUCCUGGAAGUUAGAGGUUUAAGAAGUUUAUUCGUUAUGGUUCCCUUUCUUUGGAAACAGAAGACCUGGUCACUCCAUUCCAUCUAAAUGAAAAUAGCUUUAAAUUAGACCUGAUAUUUGAUGCUUUUUUUUCUUCAUAUGAGUUGUUUGGCUGUGUGCUUAAUUUGCAGUGAAUCUGAGAGACCUAUUCUAAUAUCCUUGCCUACAUGAGAAAAAUUCAGUAUAAACUCAUUCCUUUCUGAAUCAUUGAGAGACUAUGGGUAUGAUAAAAUAUGGCAAUUACUCUACAGGUCAUAUUCAGAAUAUUAAUGUUUUUUAAAUGUGAAAUAAGCAGUGACAGGUGACACUGUGCAUUUCUUA